CAGAGUUCAGGAGAGGUGUGACCAGGAAUCAUCAGGAAGGCCAAGACAGCUGCCAGUGUCCAGGGGAAACAAGUACGAACCACACACUGACAUUUCGCCAGUGGUGUACUACAACAGGAUAAAAGACCUACAGAAAAGCAAAGAGAAUACUGUCUCCAGUGUUGUAAAGCAUUGAAUUUUAAUGAUGAUUACAUCUGAAAUCCUUUCUAUGCGUCACCAACAAUGCUGCAGGACUUUGGAAUACAGUCUGUACUAUGAAUCAUAUACAGUAGAAAGAAGAAAGCAUUCUGUGCACUGGGAGAUGAUACAUUUCAGUGCAAGAGCCCCAGCGGAGAGGCCUUUCCACCAUGGUGAGGGAGCAAGACAUGGGUGAAACAUCGCAACCAUUAUCUGAGGACUAUCAGAUAAGAACUUAUGAUGUGAAAGAAGCUGCUACAGACUGAAUCAAGGAAUAUAUAUGGU